CCUACGGGAGGCAGCAGUGAGGAAUAUUGGUCAAUGGGCGGAAGCCUGAACCAGCCAAGUCGCGUGAAGGAAGACGGUCCUACGGAUUGUAAACCUCUUUUGCCGGGGAGCAAAGGGGUCCUUGCGAGGGCCCAAUGAGAGUACCCGGAGAAAAAGCAUCGGCUAACUCCGGGCCAGCAGCCGCGGUAUUACGGAGGAGGCGAGCGUUAUCGGGAUUUAUUGGGUUUAAAGGGUGCGUAGGCGGGCUGUUAAGUCAGCGGGCAAAGGGCGGGGCUCAACCCCGGCCUGCCGUGGAAACUGGCGGCCUCGAGUGGGCGAGAAGUAUGCGGAAUGCGUGGUGUAGCGGUGAAAUGCAUAGAUAUCACGCAGAACUCCGAUUGCGAAGGCAGCAUACCGGCGCCCUACUGACGCUGAGGCACGAAAGCGUGGGUAUCGAACAGGAUUAGAUACCCGAGGAGUC
rnacentral:rRNA from 1 species